UGGGGAAUAUUGCGCAAUGGGCGGAAGCCUGACGCAGCGACGCCGCGUGAGGGAUGACGGCCUUCGGGUUGUAAACCUCUUUCAGCAGGGACGAAGCGAAAGUGACGGUACCUGCAGAAGAAGCACCGGCCAACUACGUGCCAGCAGCCGCGGUAAUACGUAGGGUGCAAGCGUUGUCCGGAAUUAUUGGGCGUAAAGAGCUCGUAGGCGGUUUGUCGCGUCGGCUGUGAAAGCCCGGAGCUCAACUCCGGGUCUGCAGUCGAUACGGGCAGACUUGAGUGUUGCAGGGGAGACUGGAAUUCCUGGUGUAGCGGUGAAAUGCGCAGAUAUCAGGAGGAACACCGGUGGCGAAGGCGGGUCUCUGGGCAACAACUGACGCUGAGGAGCGAAAGCGUGGGGAGCGAACAGG
rnacentral:rRNA from 1 species